GCUAGAGAUCGCGAGACACUUCAGUCUGCAGCUCACACCCGGCGGAGCUGCAGACUGAGGCUGGCUCUCUCCCCGGGCGGACUGACAGGAGGGGUCUCGCACCCGGCGGCAUACAGGGCAAGCCGCCGGGUCCCCUCCUGUGUUCCCUCUGGUACUCCAUGUCCUUGCCCCCUUCCUCAUCCUCUCUUAUUGAGAAGGAGUGCAAUUGAUGGAAAUGCACCCUAGAUCCAAUAAUGC